rnacentral:rRNA from 1 species
GACGAACGCUGGCGGCGUGCUUAACACAUGCAAGUCGAACGGUAAGGCCCUUCGGGGUACACGAGUGGCGAACGGGUGAGUAACACGUGGGUGAUCUGCCCUGCACUUCGGGAUAAGCCUGGGAAACUGGGUCUAAUACCGGAUAGGACCACUGCCUGCAUGGGUGGUGGUGGAAAGCUUUUGCGGUGUGGGAUGGGCCCGCGGCCUAUCAGCUUGUUGGUGGGGUGAUGGCCUACCAAGGCGACGACGGGUAGCCGGCCUGAGAGGGUGACCGGCCAGACUGGGACGGAGAUACGGCCCAGACUCCUACGGGAGGCAGCAGUGGGGAAUAUUGCACAAUGGGCGCAAGCCUGAUGCAGCGACGCCGCGUGAGGGAUGACGGCCUUCGGGUUGUAAACCUCUUUCAGCACCGACGAAGCGCAAGUGACGGUAGGUGCAGAAGAAGGACCGGCCAACUACGUGCCAGCCGCCGCCGUAAAAC